UAAUUAAAGUGUAUAUAUAUAUAGAGCUGGGCUGGUAUACUAUCGGCCUCCGUGCUACCAAGAUGUUUUCAAUGAUGCGGCUUCCAAAUUGAUGAUCGGCUCCGUUAGACUUGAUCUACACUAUUGAAAGUAUUUGGAAACUAAAUUUCAUAAUUUUUCGACAUUAUUUACCUAUCAAAUUAACGAAUAGUCUAAAAAUGAACGGUUGAAAAUAAAAAUCUCAUAAGAAAUGAUGAUUAAAGACUUGAAUUUAAGAUCAGAGAUACUAAUCUUACUCUAUAUAAUGAAAAAAAUUUUAUAUAAAAAUUUUAUCAGAUUUGAAUUGUUUUACACUGUUAAAUUCAUAAAGCAUCAUAUCGACCAUUAAAAUUGCCAAUUUUGAUACCUUUUGAUCACUAGCCAAAUUAUGUUGAAAAAUUAUGAAAUUUAGUUUUCAAAUACUUUUAAUAGUGGAGAUCAAAUCUAACGGAGCCGAUCGUCGAUUUAGAAGCUGCAUCAUUAAAAACAACUUGGUAGCAUGGAGGCCUCCAUGCUACCAAUAGUAUACCAGUCUAGCUAUAUAUAUAUAUAUAUAUAGGGCUAGAACACUCUUAUAAGUAUUUGGCCCUUCGUACUCAUAAGUUGUUUUCGAUGAUGGGGCUUCCGAAUCGACGAUCCACUCCGUUAAAUAUGAUCUAGAGUAUUUAAAACUUCUAUAUAUAUAUAUAUAUAUAUAUAUAGAGUAGGGCUACUACACUCUUAUAAGUAUUUGGCCCUUCGUACUCAUAAGUUGUUUUCGAUGAUGGGGCUUCCGAAUCGACGAUCCACUCCGUUAAAUAUGAUCUAGAGUAUUUAAAACUUCUAAAAAUAAAUUUCAUAAUUUUUCGAAAUCAGAAUAAAAUCCAUCAAACGGGCAUAAAAUGAACGGUCAAAAUCGAACGACGUCCUAAAAAUGGAUGAUCGGAUCCUUCAAUUUUAGAUCGGAGUUAUUGAUCUUUAUCUAGGUAGUGAAUAGAAUUUUCUAUCAAAAAUUCAACCUAUUCCAAUUCUUUUACAUCGUUAAACUAGCAAAUAUCCUAUACCGACCGUUAAAAAUUAUCAAUUUUGUGAGCUUUUGAUCGUCAGGUGAAUGAUGUCGAAAAAUUAUAAAAUUUGAUUUCUAAAAGUUUUAAAUGCUCUAGAUAAUGUUUAACUAUAUGGAUCGUCGAUUCGGAAGCUCUAUCAUCGAAAACAACUUAUAAGUACGAGGGCAAUCGUACUCAUAAGAGUAUAGUAGCCGGACUCUCUCUCUCUCUCUCUCUCUCUCUCUCUCUCUCUCUCUCUCUCUCUAUAUAUAUAUAUAUAUAUAUAGAUAGAUAGUCCGGCUGGGAUACUAUUGAUAGCACGAAGUAUUUUCACCACCCACUCAACCCUAGGGAGCCCACAUCAUCCUAACAGCACAUCUCUUAAUCCAAGAACAAAAAACCUAAAAGCACCAAGUAACUUGGUACAAUUAAAAGCAUAGGAGCUCAACUUUAUAGUUCUCUCUCUCUCUCUCUCUCUCUCUCUCUCUCUCUCUAUAUCUAUAAUCUAUAAAACUAUAUGAAGCCAGAAUAAUUCUUGCCACGUGGCAAGUUAUCUUUCAUUCCCUCUUUGAAAGAACAAAAUGAGAAAUUUAAUGAUUAAUAACUGAUAUAAAUAUAUAAUUACAAUAAUAACUAUAGUUUAAUAUAUAAUUAAUACAUAUAAUUAACCCAAUAUUGUCAAUAAUCU
rnacentral:lncRNA from 1 species